rnacentral:lncRNA from 1 species
ACAACAGAACAAGAAAAAUGCCUCAGACUUUGAUGCUUUUCAGCCAAUAGUAGCAGCUUUUCAAUUAGUUAGCAAUACAAACAACAGUUUUUCAAUUAGUUAGCAAUACACAUGUUGCACAUACAUUAGAAAAUAGCAUUGUAUAUGUACUGAAUAAGCAACAUCGUAGAUAAGCUAUCAUGUAUACUUCCAUUGCUGCACAAUAUUGCUACGACGAACAGUAGCACCGGUAUUAUUAUGCCUAUGCGCCAGUUUAUUGCGCAAUCGAAAGGACUACUCAACACGCUAACACUGUCGUGCUUUACGCAUAACGUGUGAGCGUGAGCUUGGCCAGGGGACGACUCGUGCCGUCUUUGUCUGUAGAGGUGAGCCCUACCUAAAAUAUGAGGAACGUAGACCAAAUGGAAAAU